rnacentral:rRNA from 1 species
UGACCUCGGUUCAGACGUGAUACCUACAAUUUAUAAAAAAAAA